AAAAAAAAAAAAAAAAAAAAAAAAAAAAAAAAAAAAAGAUCCCCCAAACAGUUGUUCAAAUAAUUAAAGCCAACAAACUUCAUGGCAGCAGGUUACUUCUCUUCACUCGAAGAUGAUGAUUUGUGUUUUGACUCGUCGGCUAACACCUCCGUGUAACACAUCGGGCAAGCCUGAAGAAAAACAACACCAAAGAAAAAAUAAGACAAGUAUUUCAGCAAGCACUGUAAGUAUUUGAUGAAUUCAUCAUAAAUUAAUAGGAAUCAACUAAACUGAUUUGGAUCCUAAAAAAUAUGCUAGUGAGAAAAUUAAAUUAGGUCUCAUACAUUCAUGAUUUGUCAUUAUGCUUGUAGUUAUAAAAUUUGCAACACUUGUACUUUUAUUUCAUCAAUGCUUUAACAAAUUCUAAACUUCAGAAAGUGUAUUAUGUAUGCAUUCAGAGGAUCUGAUUCCUAAAUAACUUGCCUUGUUGAUGCUAAGCCAUUUGUUCCCACAGCUAGCAUGAUAGACAUGUUUACAUGGUAAAGUAAUCCUCUUCUCCCCUCUUUUAUAUUCCAUCUGGCAAAUUACGCAUCUAAACAGGAAGAAGAGUCAGAAUAACACAUUACGGAGGAGACAAAAUCCAAAUACUUGCUCUUCUACCAAGAAGACAAUAGAGAGACAAGGCGCCUCUAGUUGCAACUCUAAGCAUGCAACUGGCUGUACGUCAUAGUAUUUGUAGAUUGUAGUAUAAUCUCCACAUGCACGUAAUUUUGGGAUUAUUAAACCCUGUCAUGGCCAAGGGAAGCCAUACCGCCACAUUCAGACAGACAGCUUCAGAUUUUAGGAUCAUGAAUGACCCGUUAAUAUAUUCAUUCAUUGCCAUAUCAUUUAUAAAUUCACAAGAAUCCAUUUCUCUAUGUAAGAAACUGUUACAUGUUCCGGGAUUAACAAGGUCCUAGAUUAAAUAAUUUUCACAUGAUACGGAAUUGAGCUUUAUUAAUUAUUUUUUAUAAA